GAUGAACGCUGGCGGCGUGCCUAAUACAUGCAAGUAGAACGCUGAAGCUUGGUGCUUGCACCGAGCGGAGGAGUUGCGAACGGGUGAGUAACACGUAGGUAACCUGCCUCUUAGCGGGGGAUAACUAUUGGAAACGAUAGCUAAUACCGCAUAAAAGUCGACAUUGCAUGAUGUUGACUUGAAAGGUGCAACUGCAUCACUAAGAGAUGGACCUGCGUUGUAUUAGCUAGUUGGUGAGGUAACGGCUCACCAAGGCGACGAUACAUAGCCGACCUGAGAGGGUGAUCGGCCACACUGGGACUGAGACACGGCCCAGACUCCUACGGGAGGCAGCAGUAGGGAAUCUUCGGCAAUGGACGGAAGUCUGACCGAGCAACGCCGCGUGAGUGAAGAAGGUUUUCGGAUCGUAAAGCUCUGUUGUAAGAGAAGAACGAGUGUGAGAGUGGAAAGUUCACACUGUGACGGUAACUUACCAGAAAGGGACGGCUAACUACGUGCCAGCAGCCGCGGUAAUACGUAGGUCCCGAGCGUUAUCCGGAUUUAUUGGGCGUAAAGCGAGCGCAGGCGGUUAGAUAAGUCUGAAGUUAAAGGCUGUGGCUUAACCAUAGUACGCUUUGGAAACUGUUUAACUUGAGUGCAGAAGGGGAGAGUGGAAUUCCAUGUGUAGCGGUGAAAUGCGUAGAUAUAUGGAGGAACACCGGUGGCGAAAGCGGCUCUCUGGUCUGUAACUGACGCUGAGGCUCGAAAGCGUGGGGAGCAAACAGG
rnacentral:rRNA from 1 species